CUGGCCCAGUGCUGGACACCAGUCUAUGUCAAGAAAGGCACAAAAAGGACCAACAAAUAAUACUGACAUGGUGCUUUGGAUCCAGGAGGCCUUGCGGUACCAGGAGAGGAAUACUGAUGGUUCCAUCUGGCGAAUGGGAAAGGUGAGGCAUUGAGAGGGUGAAAUGCUUUCAGGCAUAGGUGAGGGGGUACCAGGAAAUUUAAGGGGGAGACUCUUUUUCCUGGGGGCAGGUGGAGAAGGUACACGACCACUGAUAGUGAACACAACUCUCAACAAAGGCAAUUCCAGCUCUUCGGCCACCACAGUAAAGCAGCCAAGGAUACCCUAAUUGUCCUCAGAGAAGUAGAGAUGAUUCCUUCACAGAGGGAAUCCUACACUCCAAACUCUCUGGGGCCCACCCUUGAGACGGCAUGCAGGGCUGGAGAUUUAGGCAGGAACAGCCUGGGCAGGCACGUAAGGUAGCUCUGCUUCUUAAGGCAUGACUGCUGUCUUCAUGGAGUGGGCCCCACCCUGCAAGGAAGCUUAAUGGAAUGGAACACUGCUCCCAAAGGAAUCCAGCCCCUCCAGGGGCUGGGGGUUUCUAUUAAAGCUAAACAGCAUCACCAAACCAACCAAUUUCCUGUGCCACUUGGUAGAAUGAGGGAGGGG
rnacentral:lncRNA from 1 species